GUGCUCGCUGCUGCAGUGCACAUGCUAACAUUGGAACAAUACAGGAAGGUUGCAUGGCCCCUGUGCAAGGACGACAUGCGAGCUCAUGAAAUGCUCAAUAUUUUA